rnacentral:rRNA from 1 species
GACGUAGGGAGCGAGCGUUGUCCGGAUUCAUUGGGCGUAAAGGGUCCGUAGGCGGCUCAGCAAGUCAGGUGUGAAAUCUCCAGGCUCAACCUGGAGGGGCCACCUGAUACUGCUGUGGCUUGAGUCCAGUAGGGGAGCAUGGAAUUCCCGGUGUAGCGGUGAAAUGCGCAGAUAUCGGGAGGAACACCAGUGGCGAAGGCGGUGCUCUGGGCUGGAACUGACGCUGAUGGACGAAAGCGUGGGUAGCAAACAGG